AAAUAGUUCCCAAUGUAUAAAUAGAAAAUACGGGAACACGAUAAAGUUAAUUCGGUGUAUUCGUUCAGAUAUGGUAUUCAAGAACAAGUCUGCUGUGAUUGUCAUUUUGGCUAUUCUUUUGGUCAACAACCCUGGUCUUCUUACAGUAGAAGGAAAUGAUUUACAAUGCUGGAUCAAACGUGGUACCUGCCAAUAUUAUUGGAGAUAUUGUAGUGGCAGAUAUCUGAAAGGUUUUUGUGACGGAGGUUCUUGGCGUCAAUGUUGUGUGAAUUACUUCUAAUCUUGAAAAUAAAAUCAGAAUGAUUUGA